UACGUAGGGGGCAAGCGUUGUUCGGAUUCAUUGGGCGUAAAGGGUGCGUAGGCGGCGCGGUAAGUCGGGUGUGAAAUUUCGAGGCUUAACUUCGAAACUGCAUUCGAUACUGCCGUGCUUGAGGACUGGAGAGGAGACUGGAAUUUACGGUGUAGCGGUGAAAUGCGUAGAUAUCGUAAGGAAGACCAGUGGCGAAGGCGGGUCUCUGGACAGUUCCUGACGCUGAGGCACGAAGGCCAGGGGAGCAAACGGG
rnacentral:rRNA from 1 species